UACGGAGGAUGCGAGCGUUAUCCGGAUUUAUUGGGCUUAAAGGGUGCGUAGGCGGCCGAGUAAGUCAGCGGUGAAAUUUUGCAGCUUAACUGUAACAGUGCCGUUGAUACUGCAUGGCUAGGAUUUGGUUGCUGUGGGUGGAAUGUGUGGUGUAGCGGUGAAAUGCUUAGAUAUCACACAGAAUAUCAAUUGCGAAGUCAGCUCACAAAGCCAAGAUUGACGCUGAGGCACGAAAGUGUGGGGAU
rnacentral:rRNA from 1 species